rnacentral:rRNA from 1 species
GACGAACGCUGGCGGCGUGCUUAACACAUGCAAGUCGAACGGAAAGGCCCCUUUGGGGGUACUCGAGUGGCGAACGGGUGAGUAACACGUGAGUAACCUGCCCUUGACUACGGGAUAACUUCAGGAAACUGGGGCUAAUACCGGAUAGGAAUCCUUGCUGCAUGGUGGGGGUUGGAAAGCUUCGGCGGUUUUGGAUGGACUCGCGGCUUAUCAGCUUGUUGGUGGGGUAGUGGCUUACCAAGGCUUUGACGGGUAGCCGGCCUGAGAGGGCGACCGGCCACAUUGGGACUGAGAUACGGCCCAGACUCCUACGGGAGGCAGCAGUGGGGAAUAUUGCACAAUGGGCGGAAGCCUGAUGCAGCAAAGCCGCGUGCGGGAUGACGGCCUUCGGGUUGUAAACCGCUUUCAGCAGGGGCGAAGCUUGUGGUGACGGUACCUGCAGAAGAAGCACCGGCUAACUACGUG